ACUCGGCUAUUUAAAAAUCUUGGUGUUAAUGUUUAAGUGUUGAGAACCCUACUGCCACGCUGAUGUUAUUUGAUAUUAAGGGAAUUCUCAUGAAUAUAUUGUGCAUAAGCCUCUAUGUUACAUGUUGUUGAAGACUAAUAUCAAUAGAACAUGCAUAUGAUAUGCGUUUCGAUUUAAUUUGAUGUCACUAAUUGUUUGUGUCGAAGGAAAAGCAUAUAUAUACCUACUUUUUUUCUUGUUCGUGCUCGCAAGAUACAUAGUAAUAUGGUAAAUUACGAAUCUUGAUAUGUUGAAGUCAUCGUUUUGAUUCUCGAUAUCAUGUAUAUUUUGAAAAUAUUGUAAGUCUGAUUAUUCUCAUUCAAUUGAAAAUCUCUGAUUGAAAAUUGACAAAAUAAACAUGUUGUCAAUGAAAUUGUCAAAAAUCAAAGGUACAUCUCCGUUUUUUAGUUUGUUUGAUCCUGACUUAAUUUUAAUUAUGUUAUUUAACUAUAUUUUAAUAUAUUAUUUGUUAGAACUGUAGCGCAUGUAUCUUUAAUUACCUUGAUACAUAGAGCUUUUAUUUGAGAUGAAUGUACAAAUUUAGGGUUAUAGUUGACUCUUUCAAUAUGGGGCUUACUAAUUAAGUUUGAAAGCGGAUCAAAUAUGUUAUUUGCUUAAUAUUGCUUAGUAUUUGAUUAAACAUAGUUAUUUUGUAACUUAAUAAUCUGUACCUCAUAACUUACCCAACAACUUAUCAAUGAACAGAUAUAUGGGUCUUUGAUCAGCCCUCCAAUGAUUGAUGAGAACUUGAUUUCAGCUGGAGAAAAUGCAGUCAAACCAAAUAGAGGCACGGAAUAUUGAAGAGACUCCAGUACAAAAGGGUUCUGUUUACGUUCAAUUUAUUGCAUAUGGAUUCAAUAUACAUAAUAUAAUUUGGAGUAUAGAAACUAGACCUUAUAGGAUUAUGGAAGAAAAAUUGUACACAAAAAUUCACCUACAUGGACGAAUGAGGGAUAGCUUAGGGAUAUACUUAUAUUUUAUUGGUAUACAUUUUUAGUGGAAGUAUAUGCUUUAUUGGUCGAAAUAUUCCAUGGGACUAUUUUAUCUCACCUUCAAAUAGGAUAGCAUUCCACCAUUUUAAUAUAAGUAUUUGAUAAAAUACUCUCAAAAUUAACUAAUACCUUACACCAAAAAUAAAAUAAAGUUAAUCACAAAUAAGUAGAGCAUAUACCAGUUAUUGGGUGUUUGUGUCGUAAAACAUAUAUUUUUACGUAAUGAUGUUAGAAUUAGGG
rnacentral:lncRNA from 1 species